rnacentral:rRNA from 1 species
CCUACGGGAGGCAGCAGUGGGGAAUAUUGGACAAUGGGGGCAACCCUGAUCCAGCCAUGCCGCGUGUGUGAAGAAGGCCCUCGGGUUGUAAAGCACUUUCAGUGAGGAAGAACGCCUGGUGGUUAAUACCCAUCAGGAAAGACAUCACUCACAGAAGAAGCAUCGGCUAACUCCGUGCCAGCAGCCGCGGUAAUACGGAGGGUGCGAGCGUUAAUCGGAAUUACUGGGCGUAAAGCGCGCGUAGGUGGCUUGAUAAGCCGGUUGUGAAAGCCCCGGGCUCAACCUGGGAACUGCAUCCGGAACUGUCAAGCUAGAGUGCAGGAGAGGAAGGUAGAAUUCCCGGUGUAGCGGUGAAAUGCGUAGAGAUCGGGAGGAAUACCAGUGGCGAAGGCGGCAUUCUGGACUGACACUGACACUGAGGUGCGAAAGCGUGGGUAGCAAACAGGAUUAGAUACCCCUGUAGUC